AGUAGUUUAGCUUAAUAGUAGAGUACUCGGCUAGUAUCUGAAGGAUAUGGGUUCAACUUCCAUAGCCACCU
rnacentral:tRNA from 1 species